rnacentral:lncRNA from 1 species
AUAAGAGAAAGUACUGUUACAUACCUGUUAUUAGAUAUUUUAACACUGAUAUUCCAUAGAUUUUCCUUUAUAUUGAGAAAAACUAAAUAUAUAUCUUUAUGUAGCUCAUUUUGUAGUACCAGCGGAAAGUCAUGCACAAUUAUAUCAAACGUAUACACCAGAAAUACAAAUAGAAAGAGGAACAACUUCUGGCACUGCAAGACUCACUACAAUUCCUGUAGAACACCCUAAAAAGGAAGCAUCACCGGACAAUCUAUUUCCUGAGAAGAAACUUUAUAUAACUAGAGCCCCGACUCAGACCAAGAAACAGUACCCUCCUUGGGACACUAAUGCAGAGACAAGAAUGAUUCAGGAUAGACAAAGAAGGAAGCAGAACUUCUAG